rnacentral:lncRNA from 1 species
AAUAAUUUAGUGUUAGAAUUUGCAUUUCGUGUAUCCAAGGCUUGUGCAUUUGUUUUCUAUGUCAUAAUCAUGUUUAAGGUGUCGUGUAUUUAUUAUAAGUUUUGACAUUAUAAAGUGAUUGGUGUUAUAUUGAUUCUGAUAUGUUUCUGUGCUUGUGUAAUAUUGUAUUUUAGCUAUUUUUCUUGUGUCAUGUACAAUAUUACCAGGUCUGUUUAGUAACAAUAUUUUCUCUAAAGGUCUCUUUUUAGGACGUCGGCCAUUCAUAUUAACCCAAAGUAUCUCUCUCUACAAUCUCAAGUGAAUUUUCUACAAUCUCUCUUAAUCAAUUGAAAGAAUGGCAUAAAGAAAUGCAAAACCUGUGAUAACCCAACAUGUCAAUCUUCUGUGUGCCAAACUCAUAUGUUGCAUCAUCUUGUCCUCUAUUUCUCUUCUUUCUUAUCUUUCAAUGGUGAAGUGAUGCAUUGGUGUGUUAUACAGCUCUAUUAUAGGGUUGAAUUAUUUACUUGCUCCAUCUUUGUAACCUUAGGCUGCUAAAAAGGUUCUCCAAAUAACAUGUUGCACCUAGUUGGACCUUAGAAGACAAACUAGCUCUUCUAUUAAGCUCCAUGUAAUUAGUUAUUUGAUUUGUUGAAGCUAUUGGUUAAUUUAGAUAAUUUGAUUAUGCACUUCCUCAAUUUACAUAUACCCUUGAUUAUCUCUUUCAAAAAUGCCUUUUUUAAUGCAUUCAGAUCUUGCAUAUGCAGUUUGAUUUGUUUAGCCUCUGUUACUGAGAUUGUCCAUUUAAAAAUUUUUGAUGAUAAACUUCCCUUUGCCUUUGGUGGCCAUAUUUUCAGCACUAUUGAAUUUAGUCUUUUGGUCUAUGUCUGGAUCUUUAGGCACUAGAUUUGAAGCCAAACUACGUGCGUGCUUGGGCAAACAUGGGUAUCAGUUACGCCUACCAGGUUUGUUAUAUCCUGCACUGUUCUUUGAUUGUCUUGACAUUUAUGAAAAGGGAACUGCAUUUCUUACUUUAUGUCUUCAUUUCCUUUUGCACAUUUCUGAGAUGGUCAAUCCUUCUAAAUGAAAAUUUAUGGUUAUGUGAUCCGGAAUUAAAUCACCUUGUGUUCUGUAUAAUUUGUCAAGAGAAUAUGAUAAGGCCAUUGCAUAUUUCAAAACUGCUUUGAAACUUAAACCUAAUGAUUAUUCUCUUUGGAAUAAGAUUGGUGCAACACAAGCCAACAGUGUUCAGAGUGCUGAUGCAAUAUUAGCUUAUCAACAGGUAGCCUCUUCAUGAUCCCCCCCCCCCCCGGUUGAAUAGUGGUGGCCUAUCUGUAUACCACAUGAUAUGUUAAUUUCAUAACUUCUUUUUUUUAUAAUUAAAAAUUUAUUUUCACUACCCUAAAAUUUUGGUGUUCUCUUUACUAAGUUGGAGUACCUGUAAUGUGUUAAAUUCAAAAUAUAUGGGUGCUAGGAUUUUACUAAGGGUUAAUUUGAAUGGUGUGUUGUUUAAUAUUUUGCAUGUUAGGCCAGAAUAAAAAAUUGAAUUAUGAAGGUGUUGACAAUGUAGGCAAGGGUGCUGUAACUACCUGAACCAUUUGAGGUGCAAGAUGUAAAAAAAGCACUUUAUUGAGUAAAUUAAGGCGAAUGUGUAAAUUUUUGCUUCUUGUAUCAAGGGGCCUUUUUUGCUUUUAUACAAAAAAUUGUGCCUAGGACUUGGCUUGUGCUUAAUCAAUUGAAAGGAUGGCAUAAAGAAAUACAAAAUAUCUGAUAACCCAACAUAUCAAUCUUCUGUGUGCGAAACUCAUAUGGGUUGUAUCAUCUUUUCCUCUAUUUCUCUUCUUUCUUAUCUUUCAAUGGUAAAGUGAUGCAUUGGUGUGUUAUAAAGGUCUCUUAUAGGGUUGAAUUAUUUACUUGCUCCAUCUUUGUAACCUUAGGCUGCUAAAAAGAUUCUCCAAAUAAGAUGUUGCACCUAGUUGGACCCUAGAAGACAAAGUAGCUCUUCUAUUAAGCUCCAUGUAAUUAGUUAUUUGAUUUGUUGAAGCUAUUAGUUAAUUUAGAUGAUUUGAUAUGCACUUCCUCAACUUACAUAUAUCCUUGAUCUUCUCUUACAAAAUGCCUUUUUUAAU